rnacentral:rRNA from 1 species
AGAGUUUGAUCCUGGCUCAGGAUAAACGCUAGCGGCAGGCCUAACACAUGCAAGUCGAGGGGCAUCGGAUAGAGUACUUCGGUACUCUUGCCGGCGACCGGCGGACGGGUGCGUAACGCGUAUGCAACCUACCUUCAACAGGGGGAUAAUCCGAAGAAAUUUGGUCUAAUACCCCAUAAUAUUCCGACAGGCAUCUGUCGGAGUUGAAAGCUUCGGUGGUUGGAGAUGGGCAUGCGUUGUAUUAGCUAGAUGGUGAGGUAACGGCUCACCAUGGCGAUGAUACAUAGGGGGACUGAGAGGUUUUCCCCCCACACUGGUACUGAGACACGGACCAGACUCCUACGGGAGGCAGCAGUGAGGAAUAUUGGUCAAUGGACGCAAGUCUGAACCAGCCAUGCCGCGUGCAGGAAGACGGCUCUAUGAGUUGUAAACUGCUUUUGUACGAGGGUAAACUCACCUACGUGUAGGUGACUGAAAGUAUCGUACGAAUAAGGAUCGGCUAACUCCGUGCCAGCAGCCGCGGUAAUACGGAGGAUCCGAGCGUUAUCCGGAUUUAUUGGGUUUAAAGGGUGCGUAGGCUGUUUUUUAAGUUAGAGGUGAAAGCUCGACGCUCAACGUCGAAAUUGCCUCUGAUACUGAGAGACUAGAGUGUAGUUGCGGAAGGCGGAAUGUGUGGUGUAGCGGUGAAAUGCUUAGAUAUCACACAGAACACCGAUUGCGAAGGCAGCUUUCCAAGCUAUUACUGACGCUGAGGCACGAAAGCGUGGGGAGCGAACAGGAUUAGAUACCCUGGUAGUCCACGCAGUAAACGAUGAUAACUCGUUGCCGGCGAUACACAGUCGGUGACUUAGCGAAAGCGUUAAGUUAUCCACCUGGGGAGUACGUUCGCAAGAAUGAAACUCAAAGGAAUUGACG